CCUACGGGAGGCAGCAGUGGGGAAUAUUGCACAAUGGGGGAAACCCUGAUGCAGCAACGCCGCGUGAGUGAAGAAGGAUUUCGGUAUGUAAAGCUCUUUCAGCAGGGAAGAAAAUGACGGUAUCUGAUUAAUAAGCCCCGGCUAACUCCGUGCCAGCAGCCGCGGUAAUACGUAGGGUGCAAGCGUUACUCGGAUUUACUGGGCGUAAAGGGAGCGCAGGCGGCAGUGCAAGUCAGGAGUGAAAGCCUGUGGCUCAACCCCGGAACUGCAUUGGAAACUGUUCGGCUAGAGUACUGGAGGGGCAGGCGGAAUUCCUGGUGUAGCGGUGAAAUGCGUAGAGAUUAGGAGGAAUACUAAUGGCGAAGGCGGCCUGCUGGACAGUAACUGACGUUGAUGCUCGAAAGCGUGGGGAGCAAACAGGAUUAGAUACCCUUGUAGUC
rnacentral:rRNA from 1 species